UCUUCACUGGCAAGCUUUAUGUCAUAUGUACCAACUAAAGCUGCCAGCUGAAGAA
ensembl:miRNA gmo-mir-22a-1 gmo-mir-22a-1